AUACAUAAUAUAUAAUUUGAAGGUUUUUGUGUGCAUUAUAUUUAAUGAUAAUCGCGCAGAGAAUAUGACAUUCUGUGGAUAUCAUAUUUUUUCGGUUUAUCCUCCAUCACUCCAUCAUAUUUCAACAAAACCUAUGGUGGAACUUGAGCUAACGUUUCUUUAAAUGCUUUUUCGAUAUAAUCCGAGAAUGAAGAUAAUUUAACGAUGAAACCAAUGGUUUAUCAUUGCAUACAGAUAUAAAUUAAAUUACUCUAUAUAUUAUCGUGUUUUCCAAUAUCCCUUCUAAAAGAGUGACACACCCCUAUCGAGCAGAAUCGUCCCUUUUUUUUUUCAAAUGACACAAUUAUUAUACAUCAGUACGAAGCUUUCUUAAUACGGAAUAGCCAUGUGGCCAUAACAAUAGAGGCACAUGCCAUACAGUUUCUUUAUGUCGACGGAUACACUUAUAUCGCAAAAUACCAAUAAUGCAUUAUCAAUAGUUAAAUACCAUAAAUACCAGUUACUCAAUUUUUCAAUAGUCACACGACUUAUACUUUCGUCGAUGUCCUUGUACAAGUAAAGGGUUUCAAGAAAUUGAAAGUCUGAAAAUGAAUAUUCAACUGCAUUUGGGGAAUUUAUCCAAGCUUUUAGAUAUAUCUUUCAAAGAAAGAUGCAAAUAUCACGAAACCUAUCUAAAUCUUUAUUUUUAAUUUUAAAUUGGUUUUGAAAAAUAAAAAUUAUGCAACUAUAAAUGGCCACUUUAGCCAUCCAUCUAACAUAGUGAAAAGCUCCUGGAACUCAGAACAAUAGUCCACGAGGAGAAACACCACAUAAGAAUAUUACCAUAAGCUCCAAAAUUUCCCGUAGUCUUCUUUUAUUUGAGGUUUUUUUUAAAUAAUUUUUGAUAAAUUCUUAAGAUGCAUUUAUUAUAUCGUUUAGCUUUUCACGUAGUUUGCGUAACUUAUAAAAAAAAAC